UACAGAGGUCUCAAGCGUUGUUCGGAUUCAUUGGGCGUAAAGGGUGCGUAGGUGGCGAGGUUAGUCAGGUGUGAAAUCUCGGGGCUCAACCCCGAAACUGCACUUGAUAUUGCCUUGCUAUAGUACUGGAGAGGAGAUUGGAAUUUACGGUGUAGCAGUGAAAUGCGUAGAUAUCGUAAGGAAGACCAGUGGCGAAGGCGAAUCUCUGGACAGUUACUGACACUGAGGCACGAAAGCGUGGGGAGCAAACAGG
rnacentral:rRNA from 1 species